CCUUUACGGUUACCUUGUUACGACUUACUCCCCCUUGCUGACCGAAGUUCGAGCGCCCCGGAUGAGGCACCCUCUCUCCGACCCGACUCUCAUGAGUUGACGGGCGGAGUGUAUUAGAUUCACUGCACCUUCACCGUGGGAUGUUGACCCUGGAUUACUACUGAAUCCAUUUUCAUUAGGCCGAUUUACAGCCCUCCAUCCUUACUACGAUGGGGUUUCAGGAUUGACUCCCCCUUUCAAGGUCCUUCCCCAUUGUCCCCACCUUUGUACCGCGCGUGUUGCCCGGAAGAUUCGGGGCAUACGGACCUACCGUAGACCUCUCCUUCCUCUGCCUUAGUGCAUUAAUCCCGCUAGUGUGCUCCUACAAUCGCUUGUAAGAUCGCGACUAACGGCGAGGGUCUCGUUCGUUAUCUGACUUCUUUAAACGCCUUACGGUACGAACUGACAACGGUCAUGCACCACCUCUCGGAAAAUCGGGCAAGGUCUUCAGCCUGGCUUUCAUCCCUCCGUCGCCUCCGGUGAGUUUUCCGGCGUUGAAUCCAAUUGAACCGCACGCUCCUCCCGUUGCGGUGCUCUCCCGCCAAUUCCUUUAAGUUUCAGUCUUGCGAUCGUACUCCCCAAGCGGCAGACUCAACACCUUCGCUCCGGCACUGGGAGCCCACGCAUGACCCCCAACACCAAGUCUGCAUCGAUUUACACCCUACACUACCGGAGUAUCUAAUCCCGUUUGUUGCCCUAGGGCUUCGUCCCUCACUGCUCGGAUUCGUUCUAUGUGUAGCGCCUUCGCCGACUGGGUGAUCCGCCCCCAGUGAGUACACGCAUCUUUACCACCGUACGCGCGAGGCCCUAGCCUUACGACCCAUCUGCCCUGAUCUCUAA
rnacentral:rRNA from 1 species